rnacentral:rRNA from 1 species
GACGAACGCUGGCGGCGUGCUUAACACAUGCAAGUCGAACGGAAAGGCCCUGCUUGCAGGGUACUCGAGUGGCGAACGGGUGAGUAACACGUGGGUGAUCUGCCCUGCACUUCGGGAUAAGCCUGGGAAACUGGGUCUAAUACCGGCUAGGAGCUAUUUUUAGCGUGAUGGUUGGAAAGUUUUUUCGGUGUUGGAUGAGCUCGCGGCCUAUCUGCUUGUUGGGGGGGUAAUGGCCUACCAAGGCGGCGACGGGUAGCCGGCCUGAGUGGGUGGACGGCCACAUAGGGUCUGAGAGGCGGCCGAGGCUCCGACGGGAGGCAGAUGUGGGGAAGAUUGCACGAGGGGCGCAAGCCGGGUGCAGCGAGGCCGCGUGGGGGAUGACGGUCUUCGGGUUGUAAACUACUUGCGCUAGGGACGAAGCAUUUUGUGACGGUACCUAGAUAAGAAGCACCGGCUAACUACGUG